rnacentral:sRNA from 1 species
CACCUGAAAGGCCGCGAAAUCGGCAUGUGGUACGCGAAGAAACAGGGGCAGAAGAACAAGGAAGCGGAGAGGCAAGAGAGAGCUGUAGUACACAUGGAUGAACGACGAGAAGAACAAAUUGUACAGUUACUGAAUUCUGUUCAAGGGAAGAAUGAUAAAGAGUCGGAAGCACAAAUAUCCUGGUUUGCUCCUGAGGAUCAUGGAUACGGUACUGAAGUUUCUACUAAGAACACACCACGCUCAGAGAAGAAACUUGACAUCCAGGAAAAGAAGUUGAUAAACCAAGAAAAAAAAAAGUUUAGAAUCAGGAACAGAUCAUAUAUUGACCGAGAUUCUGAGUAUCUCUUGCAAGAAAAUGAACCAGAUGGAACUUUAGACCAAAAAUUAUUGGAAGAUUUACAAAAGAAAAAAAAUGACCUUCGGUAUAUUGAAAUGCAGGUAGUAGAAAGAUGUCAAAAAAUAUUUUGUCAUUUUUUUCUUACACUUGAUAAAAAUGUACGUAUGGUUAGAGGUAGCUGCAUGGCAUAGAUCAGUGAGAUCCUCAACAAGACAUCCUCUGUGGGAAUUACUUUCUUUUCGAAUGGUAGAGAAAAGCAGUGGGAAUGGAAGUUACACAUAACCUACAGUAUCUUAUCUCAUCCACAGAAGCGUAUGUGGUGAGAAGAAAUGUUUGAGAAAUGCUAGUGCCAAUGGAAAAAAAAACUUACUCUUCAGCUUUUCUAGGCCAGUUUAGUGAGGUGCCAUGUGCAGUAAAGGCAGUUAAAAUUGUAAAGCUUGUUCCAGAUUACUUAAUACAUCUCCUUCUUUUUAUAGAUGAUAAAAUUAAAUAUUUCAAAAA